rnacentral:rRNA from 1 species
UACAGAGGUGGCAAGCGUUGUUCGGAAUUACUGGGUGUAAAGGGCGCGUAGGCGGCCUUGUAAGUCUCGUGUGAAAGCCCUCGGCUUAACUGAGGAUCUGCACGGGAUACUGCGAGGCUUGAGUUCGGGAGAGGAAAGCGGAGUUCCGGGUGUAGCGGUGAAAUGCGUAGAUAUCCGGAGGAACACCAGUGGCGAAGGCGGCUUUCUGGACCGACACUGACGCUGAUGCGCGAAAGCUAGGGGAGCAAACGGG